GUUUGAGAGAUGGGGUCCAAGAACAGUGCUUCAGUAGCUCUCUUUCUCACCCUUAACAUUCUCUUCUUUGCAUUGGUGAGUUCCACUGAAAAAUGCCCUGAUCCUUAUAAGCCUAAGCCCAAGCCCACUCCCAAACCAACUCCCACUCCUUAUCCAUCUGCAGGAAAAUGCCCUAGAGAUGCCCUAAAGUUAGGUGUCUGUGCUGAUGUCCUCAACUUGGUGCACAAUGUUGUGAUUGGAUCUCCACCAACACUCCCAUGCUGCAGCCUUCUUGAAGGCCUCGUCAACCUCGAGGCCGCGGUAUGCCUUUGCACUGCCAUUAAAGCUAACAUAUUGGGAAAGAACCUCAAUCUUCCUAUUGCCCUUAGCUUAGUUCUUAACAACUGCGGCAAGCAAGUUCCAAAUGGCUUCGAAUGUACCUAAAAUUUCUAGUGUGAGAGAAGGAUCAUGAUGUGCUUUCUGGAUUUUGUUCUUUGUGUUUUUGAUUAUUGUAAAGUGUGCUGUUUCUGAUUGCAGUAUUGUUGGCUUAACAAUAUAUUAAUUUUUUUUUUUUGUCAUUUAUGAAGCAAUUCAAUGGAAAAUUUUGUUUUGAGUUCUGUCAUCUUAGAGUAGUUAUUAGUUUGUGUUCAUGAGUACUAAUUUGCAGACUACUCAAGCCCAUGUGCAAAAUUGAAAGUAUUGUGUUGUGAAUAUUAAAAUUUCGAAACUGGUAAAAUUUCAUAUAUAUAGUACCCAUUAUUCUUUAGAAAAUCGGUGAUUAAACAACAUUAAUAACCGAUUAAUUACCGUUUCGUAAUUCGUCGAGCUAAUUAAAUUUCGAAUUAUUUAACAAUCAUUUAAUUGAAUUUUUUUUGAUCCAAAUAACCCAUGUUCCAUACUGUAAAUAUAAUAUUGGCAUCAAUAUAAAUCUUAAAUAAAUGGAUCCAUAAAAAUAAAAAUGUUGGAAUUCAUGCACUUGCAUAUUCAUUUUCAUAUUCAGAGUAUCUAUUUAUUAUAUGUUCAUGCAACUUGUAAUCAAGUUCAUUUAGAGUUCUUUGUAUCAACUCUUUAAAUAUUCUCUAGAAUCUAUACAAAGUAUAUUCUACAUCAUUUGUAAUUCACUUCAAUCAGUGAAAUCAAAUUUAGAAAUAUAAAAGUUCUUUCAUCUUUAUUUCUUUUUUUUUUCCAUCUAUAUUUCUUUCUUAGAGCUCGUAGCAACUCAUUUAGUUUCAUUCAAAAAUUAUAUGCCUAAAAGAUGUAUAUAAAUGAAAUUGUUCAAACGUAUUUUAGUUGUAAUAUAUACGCCUAUUAGAAUAUGUUAAAAUAAAAUAUCUGUAAACCGACCUCUAAUUUGACAUUUGCUUCAUUAAAACAAAUAUUAUAUAUAUUUGAAGCUAUGAAAAUAAUUAAAAAAUAAUUUGAUCAAAGAAAAUGAAAAUAUUUAAAUUAAUUUUACUACAAGUCUGAGUAAAACAAAAAACCAUAAACUAGUAGUUAAUUUAAAUACCAACCACCCGACUACUAAGAUUUUUAGGAUUUUUUAUAAAUACCUACAUCUUAAAAACAAUUGCAAAAAUAUUAUCACUUUUUAAAACAAAUUGCAAAAAUACUAUGUUUUUUUAAAAAAAUAUUGACAAAAAUAAGGAGGUUGCAUAUGCAACCAUAUUUGCAACUGUUAGCAACUAUAUAUGCAACCACAAAUACAAUUUUGACUGAAAAUUUGCAGGUACUUGCAAAUGACGAAAAUGAGUACCUCUGCGUUGCCAAUACUAAUAUCACAAAAGUAACCAUGAAAUGAACUAAAACAUAACGAGAAAAUCAAUUAAAAGCAACUCAACAACCUUCAAAGAAACUGAAUUCAGGUAACAAUUGUUAUGUUUUGAUUUUGUAUAAAUGUAUAUAUGAUUUUGUGCAUGCAUAUACGUGUUUGCGGUCAGUGGCGGAGGCAGAACACAAUACUCAAGGAGGCACUUUUUAAUUUUUAAUAUUCUAGGGGCAAUUUUUAACAUUCCAGGGUCACAAGGAGUAAUAUUUUGUAGAUUAAUAUUGUCAAAUAUAUGGAUCUCAUAUAAAAACAUAUACACUUUUCUGAAACCUACGGGGGCAUGGGCACCCAGAGGCCCCCAUGUCCCUCCGCCUCUGUUUGCGGUGCUGGUGGGCUUGGUGGUGUCCGAAUGCGGGGCUCGAAAGGGUGGUGUGGGGAUUAGUUUUUUAACCGGAGGAGGGGAUGUACAUUGGAGGCUGUUGAUGUUGAUUGUUGGUCUAUAAUGGCCGACUGUAGGAAUGGAUGUUCGUGCGGGAGGAAUAAGGAGAGGGAGAAGAGAGUGCAUAUUGAGAUAGAGAAGAGAUUGAGAGCAAAGAUGAGGUAGAGGCAUUUGUUGGAGUAAGGAGAAAUAGGAACACAAAAGCACCCUAGAAAUCAGGAAGCCUGAACAACUAAAAAUACUUGCCCACAUAAUACUCCACUACUUAACUCCCUUGCUUCAAACAUGCAGAUCACACCAAGAAGUUUUCGGAAAUAAUAAUGCUUAGCUUGAGAAAGCGACUUCGUCAAAAUAUCAGCUUUUUGUUCAUUUGUUGGACAAAAUUUGAGCUGCAAUUCUCCAUCUGCUGUGUGACUGCGGAUAAUAUGAUAAUGAAUGUCGAUGUGUUUGGUUCUACUAUGGAAGGCUAGAUUUCUUGUCAUUGCUAUUGUUGCUUUAUUAUAACAAUACAUUUCUGUUGCACCAUCUUGUUUUUGAUGUAUAUCAACCACCACACGUUGCAACCAUAAAGCUUUAAACAUAUUCAGCCUCCGACGAAGAUAAAGCAACCACAUCCUACUUCUUUGAACUCCAUAAAAUUUCUCCUGAACCCAAAGCUAAAAACAUGACCUGAAGUGCUCUUUCUAUCAUCAAGACAACCUACCCAAUCACUGUCGCUAUACCCAAAAAGCUUGAAAUCCGCAUCUUUUGAAUACCAAAUCCCAAACUCAGUCGUCCCUGCUAUAUGACCAAGUACUCUCUUUGCGGCACCUAAAUGUUGCUUUGUUCGAUUAUGCAUAUACCUGGAUAGCACACUCACAGAGUGCAUGAUAUCUAGUCGUGUAUGCGUCAGAUAAUUUAGCCCGCCAAUCAGACUUCUGCAAUAGCUUGUAUAUGCAAUUGGUGUACCAUCUUAAGCCUACAAUUUUUCACCGGUAUUCAUAGGUGUAGCUGCUGCCUUACAAUUUUUCAUAUGAAACCUACAGAGCAGGUCUUUAGCAUAUUUCUUUUGCGCAACAAAUAUUCCAUCAUCUGCUUGUUUCACCUCAAGACCAAGAAAAUACUGCAAUGUCCCUAAAUCUGACAUCUCACACUCACUUUUCAUACAUGACCUGAACUCAUUAACAAGAGUUUCAGACGAUCCAAAAUAGAUCAUGUCAUCAACGUAAGUGCGUAUUACUAAGAAUUCGCCAUUAUCAUGCUUUUCACAUAUAGAGUGGGUUCAUUUUCGCUCCUGACGAAACCAUGUUGUAGAAAGUAAGAAUCAAUUCUCUUGUACCAUGCUCUCGGUGAUUAUUUUAACCCAUAAAGAGCUUUAAUUAGCUUGUACACCUUAUUCUCCUUCUCAUUAACAACAAAUCCAUCAGGCUGUGAGACAUAAACAUCCUCUUCUAGCUCCCCAUUUGGGAAAGCAGAUUUUAGAUCAAAUUGAUGCACAUGUAAGUUCAUUUUAGUAGCUAAACAAAGGAGAGUUCUUACCGUUUCAAAACGAGCCACCGGUAAGAGAGUUUCGUCAAAGUCAACACCUUCCUGUUGACCGUACCCUUUCGCCACGAGCUUGCUUUAUAUAUACUUUUGGAUGAUCCCAUCUGCAUGAUGCUUUAUCUUAUAUACCCAUUUGAGACCAAUGAGAGUUUUUCCUUCUGGUAAAUCAACCAAUUCCCAUGUUUUGUUACGAACAAUAGCUUGCAAUUCUUCAACCAUUACAUUCUACUAAUUUUCAGUGUUAAUUGCUUUUUCAAAAGAUUUAGGUUUCGACACAUUUAAUGCAAAGGGAAGAGAUUCAUAUAUCUCCUCAAUAGACUUCAUUUUUUUGGAGGUGUUUCACUUGAAGGAGUACAGGAUGAAGAGUUCACUGGAGACCCGCUUCCAUCAAAUUUUUUAUCAACACUAACCAGUGAAUUUGGAAGACAAGAAGGAACAUUGGAAUAACCAAUUGGUUCAUCUUGGAUGGCAACUUGAUACUAAUAUCGACAAGAUCAGAAGCAACAUUCCAGCUUGAUUCCUCAUUAAAUACAACGUCCCUGCUGAUGAUGAUAACUUUUUCCUUCACCGUAUCGUACAACUUGUAUGCUUUCGAAGGAAUGCUAUAAUUGAUAGAUUUGCAUUUUGUAGCUUUCUCAUCAAGAUUUUUACGAUAUAGAGCAUCCACUAAAACAUAAGCAACGAACCAAAUACACUUAGAUGACUUACAUCAGGCUUACUACCUUCCCAUGCUUCGUAUGGAGUUUGAUUAUACACUGCCUUGGUUGGACAAAUAUUCAGAAUGUACACAGCUGUAGCAACAGCUUCACCCCAAAAUAUUUUAGGAAUGCCUCUUUCUUUCAUAAUACUUCUUGUCAUCUCUACAAUUGUGCGAUUUUUUCAUUACGCGAUGCCAUUUUGUUGGGGCUUGCGAGGUGCUGUGAGUUCUCGAAAUAUAUCAUUAUUUUCACAAUAAGUAUUAAAUUCUUGUGACAAGAAUUCACCUCUCCUAUUUGUUCAAAGUGUCUUGAUCAUUCUCUCACCUCGCUUUUCCACGAGAGACUUAAAUUUCUUAAAACAACCAAAUGCCUCAGAUUUGUACUUCAAAAAGUAGACCCAACACAUACAGCUUUAAUCAUCAACAAGAAGUAGGAAAUAGAGACUUCCACCCAAAGUUUCUACAGACAUUGGACCACACAAAUCUUCAUGAAUUAGUUCUCAACAUAUUGAAGCUCUCCAAGCCUUGCCUACUGUGAAUGUUUGUCUACUCUGUUUUCCAUAAACACAGCCCUCACAAAAACUGAGAUUACUGAUUUUGGGCAGCCCAAUUAUCAUAUCCUUGUUUCCUAAUAACAGUAAACCUCUAACAUUUAAAUGACCAUAUCUUAAAUGCCAUAGAUUUUAUUUGGAAUCAUUUGCUAAAAGGGCAUGACUCUGGCUCACAUUAAGAGGAAACAUUCUAUUCGAGCCAUAAAUAGAUUGUUUUCUUCAUCUAGAUAUUCAUCGGCUUGGUGAUAUUUAUUCUAUUCGAGCCAUAAAUCGAUUGUUUAAAAAUAUAGUAAAUUUGUAAGGUUUUAGACAAGUUAGUAUAUGUACAAAUAAAUAUUCAAAGAUGAGUAUAUUUUUCAAAUUCCCAAAUUUUCAUAUUUUAAUUUUCAUAUGAUAAUAUAAAUUAUACAUAUUAUAAUAUAAUUAAUAAGUUAUGAGAUUAUUAGAUAAAAUAAAUACGAUAAAAUAUUUACCUGAGGGAUUCAAUACUUUGACGCUCAAUUAUCAAAAUAUAUAUUCCUAAUAUGUUAGUUUCUUAAUAUUUUGACAUCUAUUUUUAAGAAUUUUGACCACACACAUAAAAAAUGUAUUUACAAAAGUAAAAUUUUAGAAAUAUUUCCUCCAUCCUAUUUUAACUCAUGUUAAAUUUUUUGACACAGAUUUUAAGGUGCUAAAUAUCACAUCUAAAUAUAAUAUUUUUAUUAUAAAAUCUAUAUCAAAUAAAAAUCUAGAAACUAAACUUUAAAAAUUUAAUAUGAAAGUUAAAUAUUUUUGUUAAGUGUUAUUUUUUAAACUAUAAUAUAUAUAUAUAUGUCAAAUGCCAAAAAUAGUAAUGGAGGAAGUAAUAUUUUUUUAAAACUCUUCAAAAUACAUAUAAAAAGUCCAACUGAAUAAAAUUAUUUUUUAUGAUUAAACUUAAGGGUUUUUAUACAUAACCAAGUUUGGAAGAAUUUUUGCGAAAAUACUAUCAGUUUUUUAAAAUUACGGUGGUUGCAUAGGCAACCCGCAUCUGAAACUGCCAGCCAGCAACAACCACAUGCAACGAGAAAUGCAACUUUGAAAUAAAAAAAUUUGGAAAUUAUAUUUGUUUCUAUAAUAGGUUACAACCGGUUGCAAGACAGAAAAAUAACCCCUACCGGCCAAACAUUACGACCUAAAAACAACUAAUACAACAACUUUUGCAAUUUUGAAACAGACUACUCAAAUUAACUAUCCCAGCCACUCAUUCUUCAAACAAACUCUUCGACUACAACUCAAUCAAAAAGAAGAACAAGACUCGGACCUGCGACUUGGACUCAGAGAAAACACACAAGAAAUCAGCCACUCUCGGUGUCACAGCAAAACACAACAAACAAAUCUCAAGAAAUCGAAGCAAAAUCCAGCAGAAUCAAACAUCAACUCAGCUACUCGGCGUGACUCGGAGGUGACUCGGUGCAAAUCACAAACAAAAGAACGAAAAGACGCAACCAGAUGAGGAGCCUAGGCGGGACUUGGCGGCGCGUGAGAAUAGGGAGAGGUGGGAGAGUUCGUCGGCGAGGGGGAUGGGCAGGAAGAUGAUAGUGCGGGUUGAAGAGGAGGGAGGGUUUGAAGAGUGAUUAAUUGAUUGUUGGAGAGAGAGAGAGAGUGGGGGUGAGGUGAGAGAGGAGGAAAAAUAAGUAGUAAAGAAAUAAAAAGGUGAAUUAGAGAAGGUAGUAUUUUUGAAAAUAAGAUUGAAAAAAUGUAAUAUAUUUGAAAGAUUUUUGAGAGGGUGUAUAUUUGUAAAUAAGAUCCAUAAAAAUAGUAUACAUGGCAAAUAAUGGUUCAUCAGUGUGAUUAUAAUUCUAGGAGUUAAAAAUUAACAUACUGAUUACCGACUAACAAAAAUUUUAGUAUUUGAAUUUAAGGAUAUGAAACUAAAUACUCCCUCCAUCCCACAAUACAUGCCUCUUUUAAAAAAAUUAUGCAUAUUAAGAAAACAUUAAUUAGAUAAAAAUUUCUCACUUAUACCCUAAUGAAUACAUGAAUGUAGACUAUUAUUCAACCUAUAUUAAUUGAAAUUUUGGAAUAAUGUCAAUAUAUUUGCAUUUGGAAACUAAAAGUAAACAGGUAUUAUGAGACAAAAAAUUCUUCCAAAAGAGACAUGUAUUGUUGGACGGAAGGAGUAAAAUAUAUAAUUAAUCUGGGUCCCUCUUGGAAAUAUCAAAAUUCCGGUAAAAUGAAGAGUUCUUUCUCGGGGAGGUUUUGUCCACCUUACAGAGAUAAAAAAUCAAAUAUAUUUAAUCUGGUUGAUUUCGGUUUGCUGAUACCAUACAAUUUUUUUUUUUUUUUUAAAGCAAGAACUCACUACUAGAAUUAGACAUUGGCUCUUAACCGAAUUGAUGUCUUCGCCUGUGUAGAAAAAGGUCGGGGUAUAUGACAUCGGUUUCAGCCGAUGUAAAAGGGGAAGGAACAUGGACAAUGAUUUGCUUAUGAAAACUGAUGUAUUUAACUCAUAUUUCUUAUUAUAUUGAAAAACUAAAUAUGAUAUUUUGCUACAUUAGGAGGUUAAGGAGAAUCAUAAACAUAUAAUACGGAAGAAUAUUAGACUCAUGAUAUAGAUCAGAAUUGAUGUCUUUAUGAACAUGUCAAAAUAUACUAAAAAUUAACAAAGCUAUGUCAAAUGAUAUAAAGAGCAAGCAAUGUUAAAACCAGGCUUUUACAUCAGGAACCUAACACUCUUAGAACUAUUUUUUCCAUGCCAAAUUCAAUCAAUAAUACCCCAAACUGAAAUCUUUUGGCUUAAUGUCCUUUUAACCCUAGAUGUUUGGGGGUGUGCCGAUGCGGCCUUACUGUUUUAACUCGGCCACUCCAAGUAUCCGAUAUGUUUUGAUUAGCCCUCAUACCAUGAGGAAGCAAAAAAACAGUAUAUAACAAAGGUUAAACUUGACAAUUCUAUUAAAGAUAAAGUUUUCUCAUUGCUCUUAACCCCUAAAGGAUACAUUAGAUGUUUCUUUCAACCCCUAAAGAAUACAUUAUAAUACAUUAGAUGUUCCUUUUAACCCUUAAGUUUAAUGCCCACAAAUGUGAAAUGUCAUGGUUGUCCAUCCGUUAUAUACCAUAUUUUGGUAUGAGGGCUAAUCGGAACAUAUCAGACAUUUGGAGGGUUGAAUCCGCCAAGUUAAAAUAUUGAGACUGUAUCGAGACACAUGGCGAACAUUGAGGGUUAAAAGGUCAUUUAACCAAUUCUUUUCAUAUAAAUGACCCCUAUUGUUUCAUUAAGUACUUAUUCACUUCAAGAAGCAGUUUAUAAAUCAGACUAUACUUCCUCUAAAUCAGUUCACGAGACAUCAAUUAUUGAUAUGUGACAAGAACAUGUCAAGCUGUUUAUGUAUUAUUCAGCCAUAUAGCCUCCAAAAAUAUCUCUUCAUUUAAUGUGCUUGACAGCUCAAUUUCACGAACUUAUCAGAGAAACUCCCCUAUAAAUUCAUCACUAAUCACAAUCCUUUCCAUCACAACAUAAACAUUCUUCUAAGCCUGAUCAACAAUAGUUCUCAUUAGCCUUUCUGUAGUUUGAGAGAUGGGUUCCAAGAACAGUGCUUCAGUAGCUCUCUUUUUCACUCUCAACAUUCUCUUCUUUGCCUUGGUCAGUUCCACUGAAAAAUGCCCUGAUCCUUAUAAGCCUAAGCCCAAGCCCACUCCCAAACCAACUCCCACUCCUUAUCCAUCUGCAGGAAAAUGCCCUAGAGAUGCCCUAAAGUUAGGUGUCUGUGCUGAUGUGCUCAACUUGGUGCACAAUGUUGUGAUUGGAGCUCCACCAACACUCCCAUGCUGCAGCCUCCUUGAAGGCCUUGUCAAC
rnacentral:lncRNA from 1 species